AACGAACGCUGGCGGCAUGCCUAACACAUGCAAGUCGAACGAGACCUUCGGGUCUAGUGGCGCACGGGUGCGUAACGCGUGGGAACCUGCCCUUAGGUUCGGAAUAACUCCCCGAAAGGGGUGCUAAUACCGGAUAAUGUCUUCGGACCAAAGAUUUAUCGCCUUUGGAUGGGCCCGCGUUGGAUUAGCUAGUUGGUAGGGUAAAAGCCUACCAAGGCGACGAUCCAUAGCUGGUCUGAGAGGAUGAUCAGCCACACUGGGACUGAGACACGGCCCAGACUGGUGAGGGAGGGAGGAGUGGGGAAUAGGGGACAAUGGGGGGGAGCUGGAUGAAGAGAGACGGCGUGGGGGAUGAAGGGCUGUGGGGUGGAAAGAAAGAGUGUUGGGAAAGAAAAGAAGAAGGCUAAUACACCGCGGGGCUGACGGUACCAAAAGAAUAAGCACCGGCUAACGUCGUG
rnacentral:rRNA from 1 species